UACGUAGGGUGCAAGCGUUAUCCGGAAUUAUUGGGCGUAAAGAGCUCGUAGGCGGUUUGUCGCGUCUGCUGUGAAAACUGGAGGCUCAACCUCCAGCCUGCAGUGGGUACGGGCAAACUAGAGUGCGGUAGGGGAGAUUGGAAUUCCUGGUGUAGCGGUGGAAUGCGCAGAUAUCAGGAGGAACACCGGGUGGCGAAGGCGGGUCUCUGGGCAGUAACUGACGCUGAGGAGCGAAAGCGUGGGGAGCGAACAGG
rnacentral:rRNA from 1 species